rnacentral:rRNA from 1 species
UACAGAGGUCCCAAGCGUUGUUCGGAUUCACUGGGCGUAAAGGGUGCGUAGGUGGUGAGGUAAGUCGGAUGUGAAAGCUCGGAGCUCAACUCCGAAAUGGCAUUGGAAACUACCUUGCUCGAGGUUGGAGGGGGGACUGGAAUACUUGGUGUAGCAGUGAAAUGCGUAGAAUAUCAAGUGGAACACCAGUGGCGAAGGCGAGUCCCUGGACAACUCCUGACACUGAGGCACGAAAGCUAGGGGAGCAAACAGG